AUUGAACGCUGGCGGCAUGCCUUACACAUGCAAGUCGAACGGCAGCACGGGGGCAACCCUGGUGGCGAGUGGCGAACGGGUGAGUAAUGCAUCGGAACGUGUCCUCUUGUGGGGGAUAACCAGUCGAAAGAUUGGCUAAUACCGCAUGAGAUCGAGAGAUGAAAGCGGGGGACCCAGGGCAACUUCGGGGCCUCGCGCGAGAGGAGCGGCCGAUGCCGGAUAGCUAGUUGGUGGGGUAAAAGCCUACCAAGGCGACGAUCCGUAGCUGGUCUGAGAGGACGACCAGCCACACUGGGACUGAGACACGGCCCAGACUCCUACGGGAGGCAGCAGUGGGAAUUUUGGACAAUGGCGCAAGCCUGAUCCAGCCAUGCCGCGUGCGGG
rnacentral:rRNA from 1 species